AAGGCUUUAGCUUAAUUAAAGUGUUUGAGUUGCAUUCAAUUGAUGUGGGAUAGAGUCCUGCAAGCCUUA
rnacentral:tRNA from 1 species